UACGAAGGGGGCUAGCGUUGCUCGGAAUUACUGGGCGUAAAGCGCACGUAGGCGGGUUGUUAAGUCGGGGGUGAAAUCCUGGAGCUCAACUCCAGAACUGCCUUCGAAACUGACGAUCUUGAGUUCGGGAGAGGUGAGUGGAACUGCGAGUGUAGAGGUGAAAUUCGUAGAUAUUCGCAAGAACACCAGUGGCGAAGGCGGCUCACUGGCCCGAUACUGACGCUGAGGCACGAAAGCGUGGGGAGCAAACGGG
rnacentral:rRNA from 1 species